rnacentral:rRNA from 1 species
GACGAACGCUGGCGGCGUGCUUAACACAUGCAAGUCGAACGAAGUGGCGAACGGGUGAGUAACGCGUAAUCAACCUGCCCUUCAGAGGGGGACAACAGUUGGAAACGACUGCUAUUACCGCAUACUGAAGGAGGUGUUUGCGUCGGAUUAGCUAGUUGGAGGGGUAACGGCCCACCAAGGCGAUGAGCAGUAGCCGGUCUGAGGAGGUGAACGGCCAAAUGUGGAAGUGGACACGGCCCAGACCCCUACGGGAGGCAGCAGGGGGGAAUCAUCCGAAAUGGGGGGAAGUCUGAAGGAGCAACGCCGCGGGAGUGAUGACGGCCUUCGGGUUGUAAAGGUCUGUUAAUCGGGACGCGGUACCGGAAGAGAAAGCAACGGCUAACUACGUGCCAGCAGCCGCGGUAAUUC